AAAGGGGUCAGCUUCUGAUCGACAGGCCACCUAAGUAACCAGAUCCAGACCCCUCAGACAUGACCAACGACACAUGAAACCUGUGCCAUGUCAUCUGUAGGUCAGGCUGAGGGAAAAAAAGUAUGAAGAAGAGCCUGGACCAUCAGCCCGAAGCAGCCUAGAAAUCAGGCCCUAAUCAAAGAUUUGGAAAUGAUGCCAUGGGGAGUAACCAGCAUCCUCCAGUUCAGGUGGCUGUGGCUAUAAAUGAGGCGGAUGCCAUGAGUCCAGCAGCGGAAGAAGACUCCAGGUUCCGGCAGGAAAAGCAUUCCUCUGGGGGAAGCAGACUGAGGAGAGAAGGGAAGAAUAACACAGAAGGAACCAGAGAGAGAAAACAGGAACAACAGGCCUUAUGAUCAUAGAAACUGUGAGAUCCAGACGUGCUUGAAGCUAGAUGUAUCCUUGAAAAGCAAGCUUUAAAAAAAAAAUGGGGCUGGAGAGAUGGCUCAGCGGUUAAGAGCACUGGCUAUUCUUCUAAAGGUCCUGAGUUCAAUUCCCAGCAACCACAUGGUGGCUCACAACCAUCUAUAAUGAGAUCUGAUGCCCUCUUCUGGCCUGCAGGCAAAGUAUGCAGG